CCAGGACGUCGGGCCUCUUCCUGAUCCGUGGGUCAGGAUAUUUACUGUCGUCUCAUACCGCACGCUGUUGCCGUCUUCCUGAGCCACGGAGAGGGCCGAGCUUUGGGGGAAGCGAUUCGACAACUUAGCGAAGAUUUGCCGGUGGAAAUGGAGUUCCAGAUGCAGGCAAUUAAAAGAUUAACGGCGUUGGAGGAGGUUAAUGUUAGUGGCGUCCUGAUGUACCCCCUCCAUUAGAUUAGGGCGGGAAUGGAUCAGAAUCAGCCCCCUGCGGAAAUUCGAUGGGCGGAUUGCAAGAAGGAUCCUAGAGCUCCAGGAUGGACCCGCUGCUAGCAGGACCACUGGACCAAAACUCUAGAAGCAAGAAAGAUAAUGAGGGAAAUCAGACUCCUCUGGUGACUGGAACGAGAAUGAUGAGUCAACGAGUGGUGGAAUGCAGCAAGCUAAGCCGCGGAUCGGAAGACGAAAAUCAAUUUGGUCCGUGGCUCAGGAAAUCCGCUUUUCCGUCGAAUGGCUGCAGGCACAAAUUGGAUGCAGAGCUCUGGCUCUUCUCCCCCAAAGGCCCCAGCAUGGACGGCAUUUGGAAGCAGAGGAGUGAGAAAGAGGGAUAGGAAGCAGAGGCGGCCGCCAACGAUGAAGUUCCUAAUGCAACUAAUCAAUCAGGAGAGGGCCCCGGGGCAUGAUAUAAUUUUCAAGAAUGUGUCAUGUUCAUGAAAAGCUGUUGUGUACCAACAAUGCUGUUAGCACAGCGUCAUCUCUAAGGGAGGUAAAUUAGCUAGCAGGACCACUGGACCAAAACUCUAGAAGCAAGAAAGAUAAUGAGGGAAAUCAGACUCCUCUGGUGACUGGAACGAGAAUGAUGAGUCAACGAGUGGUGGAAUGCAGCAAGCUAAGCCGCGGAUCGGAAGACGAAAAUCAAUUUGGUCCGUGGCUCAGGAAAUCCGCUUUUCCGUCGAAUGGCUGCAGGCACAAAUUGGAUGCAGAGCUCUGGCUCUUCUCCCCCAAAGGCCCCAGCAUGGACGGCAUUUGGAAGCAGAGGAGUGAGAAAGAGGGAUAGGAAGCAGAGGCGGCCGCCAACGAUGAAGUUCCUAAUGCAACUAAUCAAUCAGGAGAGGGCCCCGGGGCAUGAUAUAAUUUUCAAGAAUGUGUCAUGUUCAUGAAAAGCUGUUGUGUACCAACAAUGCUGUUAGCACAGUGUCAUCUCUAAGGGAGGUAAAUUAGCUAGCAGGACCACUAGACCAAAACUCUAGAAGCAAGAAAGAUAAUGAGGGAAAUCAGACUCCUCUGGUGACUGGAACGAGAAUGAUGAGUCAACGAGUGGUGGAAUGCAGCAAGCUAAGCCGCGGAUCGGAAAACGAAAAUCAAUUUGGUCCGUGGCUCAGGAAAUCCGCUUUUCCGUUGAAUGGCUGCAGGCACAAAUUGGAUGCAGAGCUCUGGCUCUUCUCCCCCAAAGGCCCCAGCAUGGACGCAUUUGGAAGCAGAGGAGUGAGAAAGAGGGAUAGGAAACAGAGGCGGCCGCCAACGAUGAAGUUCCUAAUGCAACUAAUCAAUCAGGAGAGGGCCCCGGGGCAUGAUAUAGUUUUCAAGAAUGUGUCAUGUUCAUGAAAAGCUGUUGUGUACCAACAAUGCUGUUAGCACAGUGUCAUCUCUAAGGGAGGUAAAUUAGCUAGCAGGACCACUGGACCAAAACUCUAGAAGCAAGAAAGAUAAUGAGGGAAAUCAGACUCCUCUGGUGACUGGAACGAGAAUGAUGAGUCAACGAGUGGUGGAAUGCAGCAAGCUAAGCCGCGGAUCGGAAGACGAAAAUCAAUUUGGUCCGUGGCUCAGGAAAUCCGCUUUUCCGUCGAAUGGCUGCAGGCACAAAUUGGAUGCAGAGCUCUGGCUCUUCUCCCCCAAAGGCCCCAGCAUGGACGGCAUUUGGAAGCAGAGGAGUGAGAAAGAGGGAUAGGAAGCAGAGGCGGCCGCCAACGAUGAAGUUCCUAAUGCAACUAAUCAAUCAGGAGAGGGCCCCGGGGCAUGAUAUAGUUUUCAAGAAUGUGUCAUGUUCAUGAAAAGCUGUUGUGUACCAACAAUGCUGUUAGCACAGUGUCAUCUCUAAGGGAGGUAAAUUAGCUAGCAGGACCACUGGACCAAAACUCUAGAAGCAAGAAAGAUAAUGAGGGAAAUCAGACUCCUCUGGUGACUGGAACGAGAAUGAUGAGUCAACGAGUGGUGGAAUGCAGCAAGCUAAGCCGCGGAUCGGAAGACGAAAAUCAAUUUGGUCCGUGGCUCAGGAAAUCCGCUUUUCCGUCGAAUGGCUGCAGGCACAAAUUGGAUGCAGAGCUCUGGCUCUUCUCCCCCAAAGGCCCCAGCAUGGACGGCAUUUGGAAGCAGAGGAGUGAGAAAGAGGGAUAGGAAGCAGAGGCGGCCGCCAACGAUGAAGUUCCUAAUGCAACUAAUCAAUCAGGAGAGGGCCCCGGGGCAUGAUAUAAUUUUCAAGAAUGUGUCAUGUUCAUGAAAAGCUGUUGUGUACCAACAAUGCUGUUAGCACAGUGUCAUCUCUAAGGGAGGUAAAUUAGCUAGCAGGACCACUGGACCAAAACUCUAGAAGCAAGAAAGAUAAUGAGGGAAAUCAGACUCCUCUGGUGACUGGAACGAGAAUGAUGAGUCAACGAGUGGUGGAAUGCAGCAAGCUAAGCCGCGGAUCGGAAGACGAAAAUCAAUUUGGUCCGUGGCUCAGGAAAUCCGCUUUUCCGUCGAAUGGCUGCAGGCACAAAUUGGAUGCAGAGCUCUGGCUCUUCUCCCCCAGAGGCCCCAGCAUGGACGGCAUUUGGAAGCAGAGGAGUGAGAAAUAGGGAUAGGAAGCAGAGGCGGCCGCCAACGAUGAAGUUCCUAAUGCAACUAAUCAAUCAGGAGAGGGCCCCGGGGCAUGAUAUAGUUUUCAAGAAUGUGUCAUGUUCAUGAAAAGCUGUUGUGUACCAACAAUGCUGUUAGCACAGUGUCAUCUCUAAGGGAGGUAAAUUAGCUAGCAGGACCACUGGACCAAAACUCUAGAAGCAAGAAAGAUAAUGAGGGAAAUCAGACUCCUCUGGUGACUGGAACGAGAAUGAUGAGUCAACGAGUGGUGGAAUGCAGCAAGCUAAGCCGCGGAUCGGAAGACGAAAAUCAAUUUGGUCCGUGGCUCAGGAAAUCCGCUUUUCCGUCGAAUGGCUGCAGGCACAAAUUGGAUGCAGAGCUCUGGCUCUUCUCCCCCAAAGGCCCCAGCAUGGACGGCAUUUGGAAGCAGAGGAGUGAGAAAGAGGGAUAGGAAGCAGAGGCGGCCGCCAACGAUGAAGUUCCUAAUGCAACUAAUCAAUCAGGAGAGGGCCCCGGGGCAUGAUAUAGUUUUCAAGAAUGUGUCAUGUUCAUGAAAAGCUGUUGUGUACCAACAAUGCUGUUAGCACAGUGUCAUCUCUAAGGGAGGUAAAUUAGCUAGCAGGACCACUGGACCAAAACUCUAGAAGCAAGAAAGAUAAUGAGGGAAAUCAGACUCCUCUGGUGACUGGAACGAGAAUGAUGAGUCAACGAGUGGUGGAAUGCAGCAAGCUAAGCCGCGGAUCGGAAGACGAAAAUCAAUUUGGUCCGUGGCUCAGGAAAUCCGCUUUUCCGUCGAAUGGCUGCAGGCACAAAUUGGAUGCAGAGCUCUGGCUCUUCUCCCCCAGAGGCCCCAGCAUGGACGGCAUUUGGAAGCAGAGGAGUGAGAAAGAGGGAUAGGAAGCAGAGGCGGCCGCCAACGAUGAAGUUCCUAAUGCAACUAAUCAAUCAGGAGAGGGCCCCGGGGCAUGAUAUAGUUUUCAAGAAUGUGUCAUGUUCAUGAAAAGCUGUUGUGUACCAACAAUGCUGUUAGCACAGUGUCAUCUCUAAGGGAGGUAAAUUAGCUAGCAGGACCACUGGACCAAAACUCUAGAAGCAAGAAAGAUAAUGAGGGAAAUCAGACUCCUCUGGUGACUGGAACGAGAAUGAUGAGUCAACGAGUGGUGGAAUGCAGCAAGCUAAGCCGCGGAUCGGAAGACGAAAAUCAAUUUGGUCCGUGGCUCAGGAAAUCCGCUUUUCCGUCGAAUGGCUGCAGGCACAAAUUGGAUGCAGAGCUCUGGCUCUUCUCCCCCAAAGGCCCCAGCAUGGACGGCAUUUGGAAGCAGAGGAGUGAGAAAGAGGGAUAGGAAGCAGAGGCGGCCGCCAACGAUGAAGUUCCUAAUGCAACUAAUCAAUCAGGAGAGGGCCCCGGGGCAUGAUAUAAUUUUCAAGAAUGUGUCAUGUUCAUGAAAAGCUGUUGUGUACCAACAAUGCUGUUAGCACAGUGUCAUCUCUAAGGGAGGUAAAUUAGCUAGCAGGACCACUGGACCAAAACUCUAGAAGCAAGAAAGAUAAUGAGGGAAAUCAGACUCCUCUGGUGACUGGAACGAGAAUGAUGAGUCAACGAGUGGUGGAAUGCAGCAAGCUAAGCCGCGGAUCGGAAGACGAAAAUCAAUUUGGUCCGUGGCUCAGGAAAUCCGCUUUUCCGUCGAAUGGCUGCAGGCACAAAUUGGAUGCAGAGCUCUGGCUCUUCUCCCCCAAAGGCCCCAGCAUGGACGGCAUUUGGAAGCAGAGGAGUGAGAAAGAGGGAUAGGAAGCAGAGGCGGCCGCCAACGAUGAAGUUCCUAAUGCAACUAAUCAAUCAGGAAAGGGCCCCGGGGCAUGAUAUAGUUUUCAAGAAUGUGUCAUGUUCAUGAAAAGCUGUUGUGUACCAACAAUGCUGUUAGCACAGUGUCAUCUCUAAGGGAGGUAAAUUAGCUAGCAGGACCACUGGACCAAAACUCUAGAAGCAAGAAAGAUAAUGAGGGAAAUCAGACUCCUCUGGUGACUGGAACGAGAAUGAUGAGUCAACGAGUGGUGGAAUGCAGCAAGCUAAGCCGCGGAUCGGAAGACGAAAAUCAAUUUGGUCCGUGGCUCAGGAAAUCCGCUUUUCCGUCGAAUGGCUGCAGGCACAAAUUGGAUGCAGAGCUCUGGCUCUUCUCCCCCAAAGGCCCCAGCAUGGACGGCAUUUGGAAGCAGAGGAGUGAGAAAGAGGGAUAGGAAGCAGAGGCGGCCGCCAACGAUGAAGUUCCUAAUGCAACUAAUCAAUCAGGAGAAAUCUAAACCUGAAAUUAUAUUCAUUCAUGGAGUCAGGAAACAAGAACUGGAUCCAUGUGUGAGAUGACAUGUUCAAUAAACUUUCAGAGCUUGGCACUAGUAUGUUUGGCAGCUGCCAUCAAACUCUUUUGCAAUCUCAGAACCCGCCUCUAACAUGCAGAUGGUCCAUCAGUGUAAUUUGUGUGAGUGAUGACGCACUUAUAUAUGUGCAUCAUAAGAAAUUUGAUGAACUUAAAUAUUCUAGGCACUACUAGAAGUUUGGAAACCCUAAACUCAAAUUCUAGAAUUCUUGUACCUUUCCUGUGGUACAGCCAAAGGCUGUUUAUCUCAAUUCCUGAGAUUUUGUUUUCCAAUA